AUUUAAUAUAUAAUGUAUAUUUAACUUCCAAUUAAAAAGACUGAUUAACAGAAUAAAUA
rnacentral:tRNA from 1 species